CUCAUCUAGAGAUGGUGGAAUGGACUGGUUUUCGGUGAAAUUCCGCUCGGUCUCACAUUCAGCCUGUCUAGGCCCCGCCUCUAUAACGGCCUGGCAUAGGUCGCGCCCGCCGUGGCUCGGCGACGCACGUGGAGACUCCAGGACUGCAGUCGGCGUAGGUGACCUGCGUGUGUGCCUCGGGCCGGGCGGGGCCUUUUAUCCUCGGCAAACCGAGUGUCAUUUUUCAGUGCUGGUUGGAGCAUUGGAGAAAAUAUAUUCUUACCCAAUCAUUUCAUAAGUAUGGACAAAAGACCUAACGGAGGAGUUAGCAGCUGCAGCGCUAUCAUUGUUGCGUGUUACUACUACCAGGCUCUUUGAUAAUCGCUUGGUACUAAUUCUCACACUAUUUUUGUAAGGGACUUCGCUGGCGGUCCAAUGGUUAAGACUCUGCGCUUCCACUGCAGGGGGCAUGGGUUUGUUCCCUGGUCGGGGAACUAAGAUGCUGCAUGCUGCUCGGCGUGGCCAAAAGAAAAGUGAAGAAAUCAAGAUUUGGCCAAGAUCACAUAACUAGGUGGUGGGGAGUUGGAACCCACUAUGACUGAACUCCAAAUUAAUACAGUGU